GACGAACCGUGCGAACGUUGUUCGGAAUCACUGGGCGUAAAGGGCGUGUAGGCGGUCCGCUAAGUCUGAUGUGAAAGCCCGGGGCUCACCCCCGGAAGUGCAUUGGAAACUGGCGGACUCGAGUCCCGGAGAGGAGAGUGGAAUUCCUGGUGUAGCGGUGAAAUGCGUAGAUAUCAGGAGGAACACCGGUGGCGAAGGCGGCUCUCUGGACGGUGACUGACGCUGAGACGCGAAAGCGUGGGGAGCAAACAGG
rnacentral:rRNA from 1 species